UACGGAAGGCAGCAGUGGGGAAUAUUGCACAAUGGGCGCAAGCCUGAUGCAGCCAUGCCGCGUGUAUGAAAAAGGCCUUCGGGUUGUAAAGUACUUUCAGUCGUGAGGAAGGUGUUAAGGUUAAUAACCUUAGCAAUUGACGUUAGCGACAGAAGAAGCACCGGCUAACUCCGUGCCAGCAGCCGCGGUAAUACGGAGGGUGCGAGCGUUAAUCGGAAUUACUGGGCGUAAAGGGCACGCAGGCGGUUAAUUAAGUUGGAUGUGAAAUCCCCGGGCUUAACCUGGGAAUGGCAUUCAAGCUGGUUAGCUAGAGUCUUGUAGAGGGGGUAGAAUUCCAUGUGUAGCGGUGAAAUGCGUAGAGAUGUGGAGGAAUACCGGUGGCGAAGGCGGCCCCUGGACAAAGACUGACGCUCAUGUGCGAAAGCGUGGGGAGCAAACGAGGGAUUAGAUACC
rnacentral:rRNA from 1 species